UCAAAAACAUGGCCUUUAGAUUAUAAUUUAAGGUUAGGCCUGCCCACUGAAAUUUAAAGGGCCGCGGUAAUUUGACCGUGCUAAGGUAGCAUAAUCAUUAGUUUCUUAAUUAGAAGCUUGUAUGAAUGGUUUGAUGAAAAAAUGACUGUCUCUAUUUAAUAAAAAUAGAAUUUUAUUUUUAAGUAAAAAAGCUUAAAUAUUUUUAAAAGACGAGAAGACCCUUUAGAGUUUUAUAUAAGGUAUAUUUAAAUUAUAUUGGUAUAUUAGUUUUUAAUUAUAGAUUAUAUUUAAUUGGGGUGAUUGAAAAAUUUAAUUAACUUUUUUUGUUAUAGGACAUAAAUAAAUGAGUUAUUGAUCCAUUAUUAGUGAUUAAAAGAAAAAAUUACCUAAGGGAUAACAGCGUAAUUUUUUUUGAGAGUUCUUAUCGAAAAAAAAGAUUGCGACCUCGAUGUUGGAUUAAAAUUAAUUUUUGGUGUAGUCGCUAAGAAUCUUAGGUCUGUUCGACCUUUAAAAUUUUACAUGAUCUGA
rnacentral:rRNA from 1 species